UACGUAGGGUGCAAGCGUUAAUCGGAAUUACUGGGCGUAAAGCGUGCGCAGGCGGUUUUGUAAGUCUGACGUGAAAUCCCCGGGCUUAACCUGGGAAUUGCGUUGGAGACUGCAAGGCUGGAGUCUGGCAGAGGGGGGUAGAAUUCCACGUGUAGCAGUGAAAUGCGUAGAGAUGCGGAGGAACACCGAUGGCGAAGGCAGCCCCCUGGGCUGACACUGACGCUCAGGCACGAAAGCGUGGGGAGCAAACAGG
rnacentral:rRNA from 1 species